AUUUCCCGUCCCCAGCGCUGCCCCCGAGGAGUCGAGCUCGCGCUCGCCGUCCCCCAAGCAGAAGAAGAAGAAGAAGAAGAAGGAUCGGGGCAGGUCCGCCAGCCGCUCCGGGGAGAGGAAGAAGAGCAAGAAGAAGAAGCACAGGUCUGAAUCCGAGGCCAAGAAGCGAAAGCACCGGUAAGGAGGGGGAGGGGCAGCUGAGGGGGGGUGGGCGUGGUCUCAGGGUGGGCGUGGCCUCC